GGUUAAGCGACUAAGCGUACACGGUGGAUGCCCUGGCAGUCAGAGGCGAUGAAGGACGUGCUAAUCUGCGAUAAGCGUCGGUAAGGUGAUAUGAACCGUUAUAACCGGCGAUUUCCGAAUGGGGAAACCCAGUGUGUUUCGACACACUAUCAUUAACUGAAUCCAUAGGUUAAUGAGGCGAACCGGGGGAACUGAAACAUCUAAGUACCCCGAGGAAAAGAAAUCAACCGAGAUUCCCCCAGUAGCGGCGAGCGAACGGGGAGCAGCCCAGAGCCUGAAUCAGUGUGUGUGUUAGUGGAAGCGUCUGGAAAGGCGCGCGAUACAGGGUGACAGCCCCGUACACAAAAAUGCACAUGCUGUGAGCUCGAUGAGUAGGGCGGGACACGUGGUAUCCUGUCUGAAUAUGGGGGGACCAUCCUCCAAGGCUAAAUACUCCUGACUGACCGAUAGUGAACCAGUACCGUGAGGGAAAGGCGAAAAGAACCCCGGCGAGGGGAGUGAAAAAGAACCUGAAACCGUGUACGUACAAGCAGUGGGAGCACGCUUAGGCGUGUGACUGCGUACCUUUUGUAUAAUGGGUCAGCGACUUAUAUUCUGUAGCAAGGUUAACCGAAUAGGGGAGCCGAAGGGAAACCGAGUCUUAACUGGGCGUUAAGUUGCAGGGUAUAGACCCGAAACCCGGUGAUCUAGCCAUGGGCAGGUUGAAGGUUGGGUAACACUAACUGGAGGACCGAACCGACUAAUGUUGAAAAAUUAGCGGAUGACUUGUGGCUGGGGGUGAAAGGCCAAUCAAACCGGGAGAUAGCUGGUUCUCCCCGAAAGCUAUUUAGGUAGCGCCUCGUGAAUUCAUCUCCGGGGGUAGAGCACUGUUUCGGCAAGGGGGUCAUCCCGACUUACCAACCCGAUGCAAACUGCGAAUACCGGAGAAUGUUAUCACGGGAGACACACGGCGGGUGCUAACGUCCGUCGUGAAGAGGGAAACAACCCAGACCGCCAGCUAAGGUCCCAAAGUCAUGGUUAAGUGGGAAACGAUGUGGGAAGGCCCAGACAGCCAGGAUGUUGGCUUAGAAGCAGCCAUCAUUUAAAGAAAGCGUAAUAGCUCACUGGUCGAGUCGGCCUGCGCGGAAGAUGUAACGGGGCUAAACCAUGCACCGAAGCUGCGGCAGCGACACUAUGUGUUGUUGGGUAGGGGAGCGUUCUGUAAGCCUGUGAAGGUGUGCUGUGAGGCAUGCUGGAGGUAUCAGAAGUGCGAAUGCUGACAUAAGUAACGAUAAAGCGGGUGAAAAGCCCGCUCGCCGGAAGACCAAGGGUUCCUGUCCAACGUUAAUCGGGGCAGGGUGAGUCGACCCCUAAGGCGAGGCCGAAAGGCGUAGUCGAUGGGAAACAGGUUAAUAUUCCUGUACUUGGUGUUACUGCGAAGGGGGGACGGAGAAGGCUAUGUUGGCCGGGCGACGGUUGUCCCGGUUUAAGCGUGUAGGCUGGUUUUCCAGGCAAAUCCGGAAAAUCAAGGCUGAGGCGUGAUGACGAGGCACUACGGUGCUGAAGCAACAAAUGCCCUGCUUCCAGGAAAAGCCUCUAAGCAUCAGGUAACAUCAAAUCGUACCCCAAACCGACACAGGUGGUCAGGUAGAGAAUACCAAGGCGCUUGAGAGAACUCGGGUGAAGGAACUAGGCAAAAUGGUGCCGUAACUUCGGGAGAAGGCACGCUGAUAUGUAGGUGAAGUCCCUCGCGGAUGGAGCUGAAAUCAGUCGAAGAUACCAGCUGGCUGCAACUGUUUAUUAAAAACACAGCACUGUGCAAACACGAAAGUGGACGUAUACGGUGUGACGCCUGCCCGGUGCCGGAAGGUUAAUUGAUGGGGUCAGCGCAAGCGAAGCUCUUGAUCGAAGCCCCGGUAAACGGCGGCCGUAACUAUAACGGUCCUAAGGUAGCGAAAUUCCUUGUCGGGUAAGUUCCGACCUGCACGAAUGGCGUAAUGAUGGCCAGGCUGUCUCCACCCGAGACUCAGUGAAAUUGAACUCGCUGUGAAGAUGCAGUGUACCCGCGGCAAGACGGAAAGACCCCGUGAACCUUUACUAUAGCUUGACACUGAACAUUGAGCCUUGAUGUGUAGGAUAGGUGGGAGGCUUGGAAGUGUGGACGCCAGUCUGCAUGGAGCCGACCUUGAAAUACCACCCUUUAAUGUUUGAUGUUCUAACGUGGACCCGUGAUCCGGGUUGCGGACAGUGUCUGGUGGGUAGUUUGACUGGGGCGGUCUCCUCCUAAAGAGUAACGGAGGAGCACGAAGGUUGGCUAAUCCUGGUCGGACAUCAGGAGGUUAGUGCAAUGGCAUAAGCCAGCUUGACUGCGAGCGUGACGGCGCGAGCAGGUGCGAAAGCAGGUCAUAGUGAUCCGGUGGUUCUGAAUGGAAGGGCCAUCGCUCAACGGAUAAAAGGUACUCCGGGGAUAACAGGCUGAUACCGCCCAAGAGUUCAUAUCGACGGCGGUGUUUGGCACCUCGAUGUCGGCUCAUCACAUCCUGGGGCUGAAGUAGGUCCCAAGGGUAUGGCUGUUCGCCAUUUAAAGUGGUACGCGAGCUGGGUUUAGAACGUCGUGAGACAGUUCGGUCCCUAUCUGCCGUGGGCGCUGGAGAACUGAGGGGGGCUGCUCCUAGUACGAGAGGACCGGAGUGGACGCAUCACUGGUGUUCGGGUUGUCAUGCCAAUGGCACUGCCCGGUAGCUAAAUGCGGAAGAGAUAAGUGCUGAAAGCAUCUAAGCACGAAACUUGCCCCGAGAUGAGUUCUCCCUGACUCCUUGAGAGUCCUGAAGGAACGUUGAAGACGACGACGUUGAUAGGCCGGGUGUGUAAGCGCAGCGAUGCGUUGAGCUAACCGGUACUAAUGAACCGUGAGGCUUAACCUU
rnacentral:rRNA from 1 species